GUGGGCUAUAGCCUUGGUGGGGGGCGCGGGCGAAGUUCGUCCGCCGGACUCGGAAUGGGGCGAGACUUUGCGGUGGGCCUCAGGGUGCCAAAAAUAAGCCGCGGGCAAGGCCGCGCCCAAAAAUAAGCGCCCGAAGGUCGUGGUGCCAAAACCCACCAUCGGAAAAAUGGCCAAAAAACGGGUCGUGGACUAUAGCCUUGGUGGGGGGCGUGGGCGAAGUUCGUCCGCCGGACUCGGAAUGGGGCGAGACUUUGCGAGGGGCCUCGGGGUGCCAAAAAUAAGCCGCGGGCUAAGCCGCGCCCAAAAAUAAGCGCCCGAAGGUCGUGGUGCCAAAACCCCCCAGCGGAAAAAUGGCCAAAAAACGGGUGGGCUAUAGCCUUGGUGGGGGGCGCGGGCGAAGUUCGUCCGCCGGACUCGGAAUGGGGCGAGACUUAGCGAGGGGCCUCGGGGUGCCAAAAAUAAGCCGCGGGCAAAGCCGCGCCCAAAAAUAAGCGCCCGAAGGUCGUGGUGCCAAAACCCCCCAGCGGAAAAAUGGCCAAAAAACGGGUCGUGGGCUAUAGCCUUGGUGAGGGGCGCUGGCGAAGUUCGUCCGCCGCACUCGGAAUGGGGCGAGACUUUGCGAGGGGCAUCGGGGUGCCAAAAAUAAGCAGCGGGCAAAGCCGCGCCCAAAAAUAAGCGCCCGAAGGUCGGGGUGCCAAAACCCCCCAGCGGAAAAAUGGCCAAUAAACGGGUCGUGGGCUAUAGCCUUGGUGGGGGGCGCGGGCGAGGUUCGUCCGCAGGACUCGGAAUGGGGCGAGACUUUGGGAGGGGCCUCGGGGGGCAAAAAUAAGCCGCGGGCAAACCGCGCCCAAAAAUAAGCGCCCGAAGGUCGUGUUGCCAAAACCACCCAGCGGAAAAAUGGCCAAAAACGGGUCGUGGGCUAUAUCCUUGGUUGGGGGCGCAGGCGAAGUUCGUCCGCCAGACUCGGAAUGGGGCCAGACUUUGCGAGGAGCCUCGGGGUGCCAAAAAUAAGCCGCGGGCAAAGCCGCGCCCAAAAAUAGGCGCCCGAAGGUCGUGGUGCAAAAACACCCCAGCGGAAAAAUGGCCAAAAAACGGGUCGUGGGCUAUAGCAUUGGUGGGGGGCGCGGGCGAAGUUCGUCUACCGGACUCGGAAUGGGGCGAGACUUUGCGAGGGGCCUCGCGGUGCCAAAAAUAAGCAGUGGGCAAAGCCGCGCCCAAAAAUAAGCGUCCAAAGGUCGUGGUGCCAAAACCCCCCAGCGGAAAAAUGGCCAAAAAACGGGUCGUGGGCUAUAGCCUUGGUGGGGGGCGUGGGCGAAGUUCGUCCGCCGGACUCAGAAUGGGGCGAGACUUUGCGAGGGGCCACGGGGUGCCAAAAAUAAGCAGCGGGCAAAGCCGCGCACAAAUAUAGGUGCCCGAAGGUCGUGGUGCCAAUACCCCCCAGUGGAAAAAUGGCCAAAAAACGGGUCGUGGGCUAUAGCCUUGGUGGGGGGCGCGGGCGAAGUUCGUCCGCCGGACUCGGAAUGGGGCGAGACUUUGCGAGGGGCCUCGGGGUGCCAAAAAUAAGCCGCAGGCAAAGCCGCGCCCAAAAAUAAGCGCCCAAAGGUCGUGGUGCCAAAACCCCCCAGCGGAAAAAUGGCCAAAAAACGGGUCGUGGGCUAUAGCCUUGGUUGGGGGCGCGGGCGAAGUUCGUCCGCCAGACUCGGAAUGGGGCCAGACUUUGCGAGGGGCCUCGGGGUGCCAAAAAUAAGCCGCGGGCAAAGCCGCGCCCAAAAAUAAGCGCCCGAAGGUCGUGGUGCCAAAACCCCCCAGCGGAAAAAUGGCCAAAAAACGGGUCGUGGGCUAUAGCCUUGGUGGGGGGCGCGGGCGAAGUUCGUCCGCCGGACUCGGAAUGGGGCGAGACUUUGCGGUGGGCCUCAGGGUGCCAAAAAUAAGCCGCGGGCAAGGCCGCGCCCAAAAAUAAGCGCCCGAAGGUCGUGGUGCCAAAACCCACCAUCGGAAAAAUGGCCAAAAAACGGGUCGUGGACUAUAGCCUUGGUGGGGGGCGUGGGCGAAGUUCGUCCGCCGGACUCGGAAUGGGGCGAGACUUUGCGAGGGGCCUCGGGGUGCCAAAAAUAAGCCGCGGGCUAAGCCGCGCCCAAAAAUAAGCGCCCGAAGGUCGUGGUGCCAAAACCCCCCAGCGGAAAAAUGGCCAAAAAAUCGGGUGGGCUAU
rnacentral:lncRNA from 1 species